rnacentral:rRNA from 1 species
UACAGAGGUCCCGAGCGUUGUUCGGAUUCACUGGGCGUAAAGGGUGCGUAGGUGGCGUGGUAAGUUUGAUGUGAAAGCUCAGGGCUUAACCCUGAAAUGGCAUUGAAUACUACUGUGCUGGAGGUUUGGAGGGGGGACUGGAAUUCUUGGUGUAGCAGUGAAAUGCGUAGAUAUCAAGAGGAACACCAGUGGCGGAGGCGAGUCCCUGGACAUUUCCUGACGCUGAGGCACGAAAGCCAGGGGAGCAAACGGG